GGAGGAAUAUUGCACAAUGGGCGCAAGCCCGAUGCGGCAACGCCGCGUGGAGGAUGAAGGCCUCCGGGUCGUAAACUCCUUUUGAGGGAGAAGAGCAAGGACGGUAUCCCUCGAAGAAGCCACGGCUAACUACGUGCCAGCAGCCGCGGUAAAACGUAGGUGGCGAGCGUUAUCCGGAUUCAUUGGGCGUAAAGAGCUUGUAGGUGGCUUUGUAAGUUGGACGUGAAAGCGCCGGGCUUAACUCGGCGAGGUCGUUCAAUACUGCAGGGCUAGAGGGCGUCAGAGGGAAGUGGAAUUCCUGGUGUAGCAGUGAAAUGCGUAGAUAUCAGGAGGAACAUCCGUGGCGAAGGCGGCUUUCUGGGGCGCACCUGACACUGAGAAGCGAAAGCCAGGGGAGCAAACG
rnacentral:rRNA from 1 species